AAGUCAUAACAAGGUUUCUGUAGGUGAACCUGCAGAAGGAUCAUUAGUGAAUUACGGAGCUCUUCUUCGGAAGAGUCUCCUUCUCUUUUAUCCCAACACCAAACUACGGAAGGAACGAGGCUUGCGCUGAGUACCUGUCCGGAUGGAACAGAGUUGCUGGUACUUCGGUAUUGGCAGCGCUGCUCCAACCCUUUUAAACACUUAAGAAUUAAAGAAUGUUAAAACUAUUGUCUUCGGACAUAAACUAAUAUACAACUUUUGACAACGGAUCUCUUGGUUCUCC
rnacentral:misc_RNA from 1 species